rnacentral:rRNA from 1 species
GACGAACGCUGGCGGCGUGCUUAACACAUGCAAGUCGAACGGAAAGGCCCUGCUUUUGUGGGGUGCUCGAGUGGCGAACGGGUGAGUAACACGUGAGUAACCUGCCCUUGACUUUGGGAUAACUUCAGGAAACUGGGGCUAAUACCGGAUAGGAGCUCCUGCUGCAUGGUGGGGGUUGGAAAGUUUCGGCGGUUGGGGAUGGACUCGCGGCUUAUCAGCUUGUUGGUGGGGUAGUGGCUUACCAAGGCUUUGACGGGUAGCCGGCCUGAGAGGGUGACCGGCCACAUGGGGACUGAGAUACGGCCCAGACUCCUAGGGGAGGCAGCAGUGGGGAAUAUUGCACAAGGGGCGGAAGCCUGAUGCAGCAACGCCGCGUGCGGGAUGACGGCCUCGGGUUGUAAACCGCUUUCGCCUGUGACGAAGCGUGAGUGACGGUAAUGGGUAAAGAAGCACCGGCUAACUACGUG